GUCAGUGUUUCAGGUAGGAGUCCUGUGC
rnacentral:piRNA from 1 species